AACGAACGCUGGCGGCAUGCCUAACACAUGCAAGUCGAACGAAACCUUCGGGUCUAGUGGCGCACGGGUGCGUAACGCGUGGGAACCUGCCCUUAGGUUCGGAAUAACUCCCCGAAAGGGGUGCUAAUACCGGAUAAUGUCUUCGGACCAAAGAUUUAUCGCCUUUGGAUGGGCCCGCGUUGGAUUCGCUAGUUGGUAGGGUAAAAGCCUACCAAGGCGACGAUCCAUAGCUGGUCUGAGAGGAUGAUCAGCCACACUGGGACUGAGACACGGCCCAGACUCCUACGGGAGGGAGCAGUGGGGAAUAUUGGACGAGGGGCGAAAGCCUGAUCCAGCAAUGCCGCGGGAGUGAGGAAGGCCUUAGGGUUGUAAAGCUCUUUUAGCCGGGAUGAUAAUGACAGUACCGGGAGAAUAAGCACCGGCUAACUCCGUG
rnacentral:rRNA from 1 species